CUGGGAUAAGAGCCACAGCUAAUACUGAGCGUAGCAUGGCUUCAGUUCAUGACAUAAUAACGGAGUUGGAAGAUGAUGAUGACAGUAAUCUUCAAGUCUUUCCGCAAACCCGUGGGAACAAUGGGCAGUAGCUUCUCCAAGACAAUCUAGAAUAUGACAAGUAUUGAAGCAUGUGGGAGAGCGGAUGGUAACCUUCACCUGAUGAUGAAGCAUUCACAUGAGGAACUGAGAGUUAACAAUGAAUAAAUGUAGUCACAACUUAGACGGAAGAAAUUUGUUGUGUUGUGUUGUGAUGAUGUGACUUUGCUAUCAGGUUCUAGAUUGAUGCCGUGAGUUUGCUGUGUGCUAUAUAUAUCUUUCCUCCGUCCCCAGCAUUUUGUCAUAUCCAGAAUCAAAAUCUGAAGAAGUAGAUUUCAUCA